GCUCCGUGCAGCCUGAGAGGAAACAAAGUGCUGCGAGCAGGAGACGGCGGCGGCGCGAACCCUGCUGGGCCUCCAGUCACCCUCGUCUUGCAUUUUCCCGCGUGCGUGUGUGAGUGGGUGUGUGUGUUUUCUUACAAAGGGUAUUUCGCGAUCGAUCGAUUGAUUCGUAGUUCCCCCCCGCGCGCCUUUGCCCUUUGUGCUGUAAUCGAGCUCCCGCCAUCCCAGGUGCUUCUCCGUUCCUCUAAACGCCAGCGUCUGGACGUGAGCGCAGGUCGCCGGUUUGUGCCUUCGGUCCCCGCUUCGCCCCCUGCCGUCCCCUCCUUAUCACGGUCCCGCUCGCGGCCUCGCCGCCCCGCUGUCUCCGCCGCCCGCCAUGGCGACUGCGACCCCCGUGCCGCCGCGGAUGGGCAGCCGCGCUGGCGGCCCCACCACGCCGCUGAGCCCCACGCGCCUGUCGCGGCUCCAGGAGAAGGAGGAGCUGCGCGAGCUCAAUGACCGGCUGGCGGUGUACAUCGACAAGGUGCGCAGCCUGGAGACGGAGAACAGCGCGCUGCAGCUGCAGGUGACGGAGCGCGAGGAGGUGCGCGGCCGUGAGCUCACCGGCCUCAAGGCGCUCUACGAGACCGAGCUGGCCGACGCGCGACGCGCGCUCGACGACACGGCCCGCGAGCGCGCCAAGCUGCAGAUCGAGCUGGGCAAGUGCAAGGCGGAACACGACCAGCUGCUCCUCAACUAUGCUAAGAAGGAAUCUGAUCUUAAUGGCGCCCAGAUCAAGCUUCGAGAAUAUGAAGCAGCACUGAAUUCGAAAGAUGCAGCUCUUGCUACUGCACUUGGUGACAAAAAAAGUUUAGAGGGAGAUUUGGAGGAUCUGAAGGAUCAGAUUGCCCAGUUGGAAGCCUCCUUAGCUGCAGCCAAAAAACAGUUAGCAGAUGAAACUUUACUUAAAGUAGAUUUGGAGAAUCGUUGUCAGAGCCUUACUGAGGACUUGGAGUUUCGCAAAAGCAUGUAUGAAGAGGAGAUUAACGAGACCAGAAGGAAGCAUGAAACGCGCUUGGUAGAGGUGGAUUCUGGGCGUCAAAUUGAGUAUGAGUACAAGCUGGCGCAAGCCCUUCAUGAGAUGAGAGAGCAACAUGAUGCCCAAGUGAGGCUGUAUAAGGAGGAGCUGGAGCAGACUUACCAUGCCAAACUUGAGAAUGCCAGACUGUCAUCAGAGAUGAAUACUUCUACUGUCAACAGUGCCAGGGAAGAACUGAUGGAAAGCCGCAUGAGAAUUGAGAGCCUUUCAUCCCAGCUUUCUAAUCUACAGAAAGAGUGUUUGUUGCUGAGUCAUAUCAGUUUCAUCAUGCUGCCUAUUAGGCCAUAAGAAUUUCCUUUUGGUUAAAUAACUCAGGUGCCACAUGCCUCCCCUGGUCUGUGACAGUUUCUUGGGCUUUCCUUGUUUUUUAUGAGCUUGAGUCUUGAGUAAGAUUGUCCAGGUAUCCUGUAGACUGUCCCCCAAUUUGGAUUUGUCCGGUGCUUUUCACGUGAUUAGACUGGGGUUUUGGGUUUUAAGUGCCCGUUUUGUCACAUCGUAUCAGGGAUUGCACGUAUGUGAUAACCACAUGACAUCACUGGUGGUGUUUGGUUUAAGAUAGUGUUUGUCAGGUUUCUCCACUGUCAACAGCGCUACUAUUUUUCCGUUCCCAUACACUGUUCAUGGAAAACAGCUCACUAAGUCCAGCCUACCCUCAAGGGUGAAGGACAGGGCAGGACUUAAGCGCCACAUUCUGGAGGGAAAUCUACAUUUAUUAAAUGGCAUUCUUCUGUAACGAUUUAUCCAUUCCCCGUUUGUUUGGUUUGUUUGUUUGUUUGUUUGUGUCCGUAUGGACCAUGGGCAUUUACUUUAUACUUUGGGUUGUAAGCUAAUACUGCAGUAUUUACUUUUUUGGCUUAAAUUGUUUCAUAUUUGGCCACUGGGAGUUCUGUCAGCUUGGCCACUAUGUCCCAUUGUUUUUUGAGCACUUUGUUGCUUUCUGGUACUAUAACAUGCUCUAGGCUCAUCUUGCAUUUUCCCUGCCCCAGUCCUAGAAUUAUCCAGUCUCCAAGGAGCCCUGGUUCUUGUUAUUGGAGAAUGGUAUAUAGAAAUUAAGAUCUGGGCACUGAGUGUGCUCACUGGUACUGGGUAUCACUGCUUCUUGGCCCUCUCACCGAUAAAAGUGGGUAACAUUUUAUGUAUGCUAACCCAUGUGUAUGCACAUAUUUAUAACUUUUUCUGUCUAAUCAUUUGUGUUAAGAUAAACAUGAAUUCAUACAGAUGUCUCUGACUUGAAUCUAGUAGGACAGCAUUCAAUUUUGGCUUCCUUUCUGACAUACCUGUAUCUUUUCUCUCUCAGAGUGAGAAACCUGGUUUUUAUCAUCCAUUUACUUAUCUGUUCAGCCCCAGUAUAUGUUAAAGCAGUUUCAAAAUUUUGAACCUGUACUGCUGUGAAAAGUAAAUUUACCAGCAAGAGUACAGUUUUUAUGUAUUUGGUAGCUCCUUUUUAUCUCUAGCCUUCUAGAUUUAGUUUUUGCACAUUAGAUGCCCUUUCUCUCCUGCUCUGUUGCAGGUACUUGUGAUUCUGAGGGCCUAAGCUAUCCAUCAGUCUUUUUGAGUUGUCACUUUCUGAGGCUACUGAGAUGAAUUCUGUCAUGGAGAAACACAGAAGAAUAAUUACCCAGCGAGCCACAAGGUUUCUAAGAUGAACUUUCUGGUGUAGGAUGUGUGAUUUUUAAUUUUUUUAUGCCAAAUAUACAGCUUCUAUAUUCACAGUAAUACUUUACAAAUCACCCUAUAUUGUGUGUCCUUUGUGUGCUAACUGAACAUGAGAUAGCCCAGCAAUCCUAAAGGGACACUAGGUAGUGCCUUCCACAUAGUAACCAGAGUCCCUUUGCCUUGGUUUCUGAAUAUUCCUCAGCAGUCUGCUAAAACGUACUUUUACCCACUCUUAGGUUUAUUUUGUCAGUCAGUGUUUAUAUCUUUUUUUUUUUUUUUUUGAGACAGAGUCUCGCUCUGUUGCCCAGGUUGGAGUGCAAUGGCGUGAUCUUGGCUCACUGCAACCUCUGCCUCCGGGGUUCAAGCGAUUGUCCUGCCUCAGCCUCCCAAGUAGCUGGGAUUACAGGCGCCCACCACUACAACCUGCUAAUUUUUUUUGUAUUUUUAGUAGAGACGGGGUUUCGCCAUGUUAGUCAGGCUGGUCUCAAACUCCUGACCUCAGGUGAUCCACCUGCCCCGGCCUCCCAAAGUGUUGGGAUUACAGGCGUAAGCCACCACACCCACCCAGUGUUCUUAUCUUUUUAAGUUCUUUAUUUAAUUUAUACUUUUGGAAGUAAAGGCUUUGUAAGGGAGCCAGACUUGACUUUUACCAAAACCACAUCUUAACAUUUUUUUGGCUAAGUACAGAAAAAUUAUAUGUAUAUUUACAGAACUUACAUUUGUGGAAUAUGUCUUUUAUUCUUUUAUCAGCCAAAACUAUCCUGAGGUCUGUGUUUUGUAUUUGAGGAAUUUUGGGUUUUAAUUUCUUAAAAUCUCUUGAAUUCUAGUGAGUUAGAGAUUCCAUAGGGUUGUACUGUUUUCCAGUCUAGGAAAUGAUUUAAAAUAGCUGCCUGGUGCUAAUGUUGGAAUGUUCCUAGAAAGUAAAUAUGUUUCCUUGCAUCUUAAGUCUAGAGCAUGUUUGGAAAGGAUUCAAGAAUUAGAGGACUUGCUUGCUAAAGAAAAAGACAACUCUCGUCGCAUGCUGACAGACAAAGAGAGAGAGAUGGCGGAAAUAAGGGAUCAAAUGCAGCAACAGCUGAAUGACUAUGAACAGCUUCUUGAUGUAAAGUUAGCCCUGGACAUGGAAAUCAGUGCUUACAGGAAACUCUUAGAAGGCGAAGAAGAGAGGUUGAAGCUGUCUCCAAGCCCUUCUUCCCGUGUGACAGUAUCCCGAGCAUCCUCAAGUCGUAGUGUACGUACAACUAGAGGAAAGCGGAAGAGGGUUGAUGUGGAAGAAUCAGAGGCGAGUAGUAGUGUUAGCAUCUCUCAUUCCGCCUCAGCCACUGGAAAUGUUUGCAUCGAAGAAAUUGAUGUUGAUGGGAAAUUUAUCCGCUUGAAGAACACUUCUGAACAGGAUCAACCAAUGGGAGGCUGGGAGAUGAUCAGAAAAAUUGGAGACACAUCAGUCAGUUAUAAAUAUACCUCAAGAUAUGUGCUGAAGGCAGGCCAGACUGUUACAAUUUGGGCUGCAAACGCUGGUGUCACAGCCAGCCCCCCAACUGACCUCAUCUGGAAGAACCAGAACUCGUGGGGCACUGGCGAAGAUGUGAAGGUUAUAUUGAAAAAUUCUCAGGGAGAGGAGGUUGCUCAAAGAAGUACAGUCUUUAAAACAACCAUACCUGAAGAAGAGGAGGAGGAGGAAGAAGCAGCUGGAGUGGUUGUUGAGGAAGAACUUUUCCACCAGCAGGGAACCCCAAGAGCAUCCAAUAGAAGCUGUGCAAUUAUGUAAAAUUUUCAACUGUCUUCCUCAAAAUAAAGAAGUAUGGUAAUCUUUACCUGUAUACAGUGCAGAGCCUUCUCAGAAGCACAGAAUAUUUUUAUAUUUCCUUUAUGUGAAUUUUUAAGCUGCAAAUCUGAUGGCCUUAAUUUCCUUUUUGACACUGAAAGUUUUGUAAAAGAAAUCAUGUCCAUACACUUUGUUGCAAGAUGUGAAUUAUUGACACUGAACUUAAUAACUGUGUACUGUUCGGAAGGGGUUCCUCAAAUUUUUUGACUUUUUUUGUAUGUGUGUUUUUUCUUUUUUUUUAAGUUCUUAUGAGGAGGGGAGGGUAAAUAAACCACUGUGCGUCUUGGUGUAAUUUGAAGAUUGCCCCAUCUAGACUAGCAAUCUCUUCAUUAUUCUCUGCUAUAUAUAAAACGGUGCUGUGAGGGAGGGGAAAAGCAUUUUUCAAUAUAUUGAACUUUUGUACUGAAUUUUUUUGUAAUAAGCAAUCAAGGUUAUAAUUUUUUUUAAAAUAGAAAUUUUGUAAGAAGGCAAUAUUAACCUAAUCACCAUGUAAGCACUCUGGAUGAUGGAUUCCACAAAACUUGGUUUUAUGGUUACUUCUUCUCUUAGAUUCUUAAUUCAUGAGGAGGGUGGGGGAGGGAGGUGGAGGGAGGGAAGGGUUUCUCUAUUAAAAUGCAUUCGUUGUGUUUUUUAAGAUAGUGUAACUUGCUUAAAUUUCUUAUGUGACAUUAACAAAUAAAAAAGCUCUUUUAAUAUUGA